rnacentral:rRNA from 1 species
AUUGAACGCUGGCGGCAGGCCUAACACAUGCAAGUCGAGCGGAGCGGCGGACGGGUGAGUAAUACCUAGGAAUCUGCCUGGUAGUGGGGGAUAACGUUCGGAAACGGACGCUAAUACCGCAUACUAUCAGAUGAGCCUAGGUCGGAUUAGCUAGUUGGUGAGGUAAUGGGUCACCAAGGCUACGAUCCGUAAAUGGGCUGAGAGGCUGAUCAGUCACACUGGAACUGAGACACGGUCCAGACUCCUACGGGAGGCAGCAGUGGGGAAUAUUGGACAAUGGUCGAAAGCCUGAUCCAGCCAUGCCGCGUGUGUGAAGAAGGUCUUCGGUUUGUAAAGCACUUUCAGCGAGGAGGCGUUACUCGCAGAAGAAGCACCGGCUAACUCCGUGCCAGCAGCGCGGUAAUAC